rnacentral:rRNA from 1 species
UACGUAGGGUGCGAGCGUUUAAUCGGAAUUACUGGGCGUAAAGCGUGCGCAGGCGGUUUGUUAAGACAGAUGUGAAAUCCCCGGGCUUAACCUGGGAACUGCAUUUGUGACUGGCAAGCUAGAGUAUGGCAGAGGGGGGUAGAAUUCCACGUGUAGCAGUGAAAUGCGUAGAGAUGUGGAGGAAUACCGAUGGCGAAGGCAGCUCUCUGGCCUAUAACUGACGCUGAGGUGCGAAAGCGUGGGGAGCAAACGGGG